GACGAACGCUGGCGGCGUGCUUAACACAUGCAAGUCGAACGAAGAGCGAUGGACGCUUGCUUCUAUCACUCUUAGUGGCGAACGGGUGAGUAACGCGUAAUCAACCUGCCCUUCAGAGGGGGACAACAGUUGGAAACGACUGCUAAUACCGCAUACGAUCUAAUCUCGGCAUCGAGGAAAGAUGAAAGGUGGCCUCUAUUUAUAAGCUAUCACUGAAGGAGGGGAUUGCGUCUGAUUAGCUAGUUGGAGGGGUAACGGCCCACCAAGGCGAUGAUCAGUAGCCGGUCUGAGAGGAUGAACGGCCACAUUGGGACUGAGACACGGCCCAGACUCCUACGGGAGGCAGCAGUGGGGAAUCUUCCGCAAUGGACGAAAGUCUGACGGAGCAACGCCGCGUGAGUGAUGACGGCCUUCGGGUUGUAAAGCUCUGUUAAUCGGGACGAAAGGCCUUCUUGCGAACAGUUAGAAGGAUUGACGGUACCGGAAUAGAAAGCCACGGCUAACUACGUG
rnacentral:rRNA from 1 species